rnacentral:rRNA from 1 species
UACGUAGGCAGCAAGCGUUGUUCGGAGUUACUGGGCGUAAAGGGUGUGUAGGCGGUUGGAUAAGUGUGGUGUGAAAUCUCCCGGCUCAACUGGGAGGGUGCGCUACAAAACUGUCUGACUAGAGUGUGGGAUGGGUAAGUGGAAUUCCUGGUGUAGCGGUGAAAUGCGUAGAUAUCAGGAGGAACACCGGUGGUGUAGACGGCUUACUGGACCAUAACUGACGCUGAGACACGAA